rnacentral:lncRNA from 1 species
AUGAGAUUUUACAAAAUAAGACCAUACCACACUUUCCUAUUUCCCUGAUGCCUAGAACAGUUCCUUAACAUAGGAGGUAGGUUACAAAGGUUUAUUGAAUGAAAGGAUAUGACUUGUAAAUGUAUAUUUUGUGUCUACUAUUUAAGAUCCACAAAGAAAUCAUCAAAGCCAUGUGAAAACAUGGUAACCAUUGAUCAAACAAUGUAAUAUUAUCACUAUAGUUUCUCAGUAGGUCACAAUCCCUCAAGACUCCGCAGUCAAAAUGGAACUCUACAUUGUUUCAUAGCCUCUUUUUUAGAUUGGAGUCCAAGAGCUACAUCAGAAGUAAGUGGAGAACCUAGGAAUUGGAGAGGAUAGAGUAAAGAUUGAUCCCAAAGAGCAAAGACCAUUCAUCUAAACUUAGAAACAGAAAAGUGGAAUGUAUGACAUUGAAGAGAGUGUCCAAACAUAGCAUCAAAAAGAUUUAUUUUCUUCAUCAGUACUGAAUGAUUCCUGACAACCAUCUAGCAGCAUUAUUUGUGGGUUGUUCUCUAACACCUCACCCCAAUAUAUAUAUAUAGUAAAGUAACACUGAUAAGUUAAGGUAAACAAGAUAUCUAAAUACCAUUACACAAAAAUCAGGGGUCUGUGAUGGCUGAACAAAUUGCCCUAUGUACUAGAGAGGGGAAAUCAGAAGAUGUCACACCAGGAAGUAGUUGAAUGAAAGAAGCUGAAUCUUGAGCCCCCCUUCCCUCUCUACUUCCUGUUCUUCCUUUCACCAAGCAACCUAAUGGAGGUUUUCUUCACAGAUGAAAAGUAAUGGACAAGGGUGGAAUGAAAGAAAACUAUCUCUCAUAACAAAACCUGCCAAGGAAAGAGAAGGGAGGGAGUAGGAGAAAGCAGUUCCCCCAAAGCUACCCACAUCAAAAUUUCAGAUGAACAACUAAAACAGUCCUGUAUAGAGGCAAUUAGGAAGCAUAAUGGAUCGAGUGCCAGGAGUCAUAGGAUCUGGUUUCAAAUCUGGCCUCAGCCACUUCUUAGCUGGAUGACUCUGGCUCCAUCUUUCUGCCUAUUAUCACACAUCUACAUUGGUACAAGGAAUACAGAGAAGAAAUCAGAAAGGCCAGAAAGAAGCAUAGACAAGAGAAUUGCCUGGGAAGGAAACUACUUCUCCCAAAGAAGAUCAGCACCUGCUCUGCAAUGUCAGUCUUAGAGAGGAAUGUGGAGCACGGAGAAGUUCAAUGUCAUCCUCUCCAUGGAACCGCAUUGGAGGUAACACUUGCACUCCUCAGUGCUCCUCCUGCCUCUGCUCUAAGAUGGGCUCUCCACAUACUCCACUUAUCCAUACUGCCUUGCAGAGAAGAUAUUCUAUAUAGGUUUUAAUAAAUGAAUUUAAACCGGACCCCUCA